rnacentral:tmRNA from 1 species
GGGGGUGACCGGUUUCGACGGGCUGAGUGUUGGUCCGGGAAGCGUGCAGAGGUCUCCGGAGUCCUCUUUAAUCAAGUCGGAAAAAACAUAAAUGCUGACAACAGCUACGCAAUGGCUGCUUAAUUAAAGCAACCCGGUGCUGACGACCUUCUCCUGACGGGUUUUCAGCGCCGACAAUUUGUCGGGAUGCUGCAUCGGUCCGCCCCGGGCCGGUGAGUAAGAUCAGGGGCUGGGUGACCGCGAGGAUGUUCCUGACCGGACGGAAGCCGAGAUCUUAACAGGAACUGCGCACGGAGAUGCCUUGAUGGACACCUGUUCGGACGCGGGUUCGACUCCCGCCACCUCCACAU